CUCAGCUAAGUAUCAUGCAUUAGGUGGGCUCAGGUGGUCACUUAUUGGUGCCUGUCAAAGGCAGAAAACAAACUCAACAGUCGUCACAAGGGAGACCAGGCCACUAGAAUAUUGGGACAAGGAGCAGGUCUGAAGCAGGAAAAAGAAGAGGGGUGGGGAGACAGCAAAGCAGGGGACCCCUGGCAGGGGUCGGCUGUCCAUAAAUCCAAGUUUCUCUCCUCGAACCCCACCCCUCUUCCUCCAGUCCGGAAAAGGCUUCCUCCUGGGAGACCCCCAGUGAAAUGAGCUGUUCUUAUCUCCUGAGCCUGGAAAUCCUUUUACUUCUCUUUAACCGGUUCACCAGCACGUGGUCUUCGAUCCCAGCCAGCAACUCCCUCUCAACUUGGGACCCGAACCCAGAGACUGGAAGAGCUGGGAGUUCCACAAGGAUCUGACUAGUAAGGGCUUCUUCCCGGCCUACUUGGUAAAGCCACGUGCUCGCGGCCUCCUAGGGUAGGGGCGUUCUGGAAUGUUGCUGCCCACAGAGCUUUCCCAGGCUUCAGCGCUGCCCUGCGGGCGCACAGACGCGCUCCCGCGGCAGCACACCCACGGGCUCUCCCGAGCGCGUACACGUGCACCCACGCGGAGGCAAGAUCCACACAGCUGCCUCUGUCAGGCAGGCACGCAAGGGGUGUUGUGUUUGAGGUGUAAACGGCUCUCGCUUGUCCUCCGUCUCCUCCUUCCUCUUCUUCCAACCUGUUUCCUCAGGGCUCCGGGUCCAGUCCCGGGUUUAGGAAUCAGCGCCAAACUCCCGGAGGCUUUGUUCAGAAGACGCCUCCUCCCUCCAGGUCCGCGGGCGCCGCGGGUCCCGGGCUCCAGGGCGAGCUCCGCGGAGCCGGGGCGGCGCGGAAGGAUCCGAGUUCCAGAGCUGCAGGCAAACUCGUUCGGGCAGAGGGACUGCGCGGCGACACCUCCGACACCUCCGAAAAAUAGACCAAAGGGACCCCGCGGAGCAGGACAUCGGCGGACACCACCGCGGUCCGGAGGAGUCUGCUUAAAGCCAUCAGCGCCUCCCCAGUGGCUUUCUCUCCAGUGAAAGAAGCCGGUUUCUGACAAGUCCAGGGCAAAGAAAAACCUGCGGCGAACUAAGUCCGGGGACUCUCCGAGAAACAGAGUGCUUCCAUCUUCUCCUCACUUAAAACUUGGCCGCUUCUGGGACUUCACUGAGGGACGGCGGAGUCGCACCAGCGUGGACCACAAGCAGAGGCGAGCGAGCACUGCCAAAUACUUUUGGACGCGGGGGUGGCCCCUUUUUGCUUCAGGAUUGCCCCCUGGCCACCCUUCCCUGCUGAGCUGAUAGGGACGGCUAAAGACCUGGAGAUAAAGUGCCCGGACUGAGAUGAGGAGAGGGAACACUUAAGCCACUAGUCUGCACCUGAAUUUCAAUCUGGUGGCCACCAGUCGGCAGUAAGAUGAUACGCUCACGUGGGUGAGACCAGACCACAGGGUUUGGCUUUUUUACAAAGGAGUAUAGAUUUUGAAAUAUGUUACUGUAAUGCAUCAUUGACUCAAUGGACAUGAGUCUGAGUGAACUCCAGAAGUGGGUGAUGGACAGGGAGGCCUGGCAUGCUGUGAUUCAUGGGGUCGCAAAGAGUCGGACACAGCUGAGCGACUGAACUGACUGACUGACUGACUAAUGUCAGAGUUGGACCAAGGCUGAACACCAAAGAAUUGAUGCUUUCCAACUGUGGUGCUGGAGAAGACUCUUGAGAGUCCCUUGGACAGCAAAGAGAUCAAACCAGUCAAUCCUAAAGGAAAUCAACCCUGAAUUUUCACUGGAAGGACUGAUGCUGAAACUGAAGCUCCAGUACUUUGGCCACCUGAUGUGAAGAACUGAUGCAUUGGAAAGAACCUGAUGAAAGACUGAGGGCAGGAGGAGAAGAGGGCAACAGAGGGAAAAGAAUUGUCCAAGGAGACACGUGCUGACAAAGCAAGAGACUUUCCUGGAAGAGACUUUAUCAGGUGGAGAGCAGCAGGGUAAGGGAACCCAGGAGAACUGCUCUGCCACGUGGCUCGCAGUCUCGGGUUUUAUGGUGAUGGGAUUAGUUUCCGGGUUGUCUUUGGCCAAUCAUUCUGAUGCAGAGUCCUUCCUGAUG
ensembl:lncRNA